rnacentral:tRNA from 1 species
UGGGGUGUCGCCAAGUGGUAAGGCACCGGGUUUUGGUCCCGGCAUUCCCAGGUUCGAAUCCUGGCACCCCAGCAA